GACGACGCUGGCGGCGUGCCUAACACAUGCAAGUCGAGCGAGUGAAUCUCCUUCGGGAGUGAAGCUAGCGGCGGACGGGUGAGUAACACGUGGGCAACCUGCCUCAUAGAGGGGAAUAGCCUUCCGAAAGGGAGAUUAAUACCGCAUAAGAUUGUAGCUUCGCAUGAAGUAGCAAUUAAAGGAGCAAUCCGCUAUGAGAUGGGCCCGCGGCGCAUUAGCUAGUUGGUGAGGUAAUGGCUCACCAAGGCGACGAUGCGUAGCCGACCUGAGAGGGUGAUCGGCCACAUUGGGACUGAGACACGGCCCAGACUCCUACGGGAGGCAGCAGUGGGGAAUAUUGCACAAUGGGGGAAACCCUGAUGCAGCAACGCCGCGUGAGUGAUGACGGCCUUCGGGUUGUAAAGCUCUGUCUUCAGGGACGAUAAUGACGGUACCUGAGGAGGAAGCCACGGCUAACUACGUG
rnacentral:rRNA from 1 species